rnacentral:rRNA from 1 species
GCGUGAGAACCUGCCUUGGGGUCUGGGAUAGCUGCGGGAAACUGCAGGUAACACCGGAUACGCACGAGAGUGGAAAGUUUACGCCCUGGGAUGGCCCGCGUCGGAUUAGGUAGUUGGUGGGGUAACGGCCUACCAAGCCUGCGAUCCGUAACCGGUCUGAGAGGAUGAUCGGUCACACUGGGACUGAGACACGGCCCAGACUCCUACGGGAGGCAGCAGUGGGGAAUCUUGGACAAUGGGGGCAACCCUGAUCCAGCGACGCCGCGUGGGUGAUGAAGGCCUUCGGGUCGUAAAGCCCUUUUGCCGGGGAAGAUGAUGACGGUACCCGGAGAAGAAGCACCGGCUAACUCUGUGCCAGCAGCCGCGGUAAGACAGAGGGUGCUAGCGUUGUUCGGAAUUACUGGGCGUAAAGGGCGCGUAGGCGGCUCGUUUAGUCGGGUGUGAAAUCCCGGGGCUCAACCCCGGAACUGCAUUCGAUACUGGCGGGCUAGAGACCGAGAGAGGUGGGUGGAAUACCCAGUGUAGAGGUGAAAUUCGUAGAUAUUGGGUGGAACACCGGUGGCGAAGGCGGCUCACUGGCUCGGGUUCUGACGCUGAGGC